rnacentral:rRNA from 1 species
GACGAACGCUGGCGGCGUGCUUAACACAUGCAAGUCGAGCGGAGCGGCGAACGGGUGAGUAACGCGUGAGUAACUGCCCCCCUCUCUGGGAUAACAGUUGGAAACGGCUGCUAAUACCGGAUAGUGGGGGAUGACUCGCGUCCUAUCAGCUUGUUGGUGGGGUAGUGGCCUGCCAAGGCGACGACUGGUAGCCGGCCUGGGAGGGCGACCGGCCACAUUGGGCUGAGGUACGGCCCAAACGCCUACGGGGGGCAGCAGUCGCGAAUAUUGCACAAUGGGGGAAGCUCUGAUGCAGCAGCGCCGCGGGCGGAAUGACGGCCUUCGGGGUGUAAACCGCGUUCAGCCAUGACGCGGUAGUGGCAGAAGAAGCACCGGCUAACUACGUGCCAGCAGCCGCGGUAAUUC